rnacentral:rRNA from 1 species
GACGAACGCUGGCGGCGUGCUUAACACAUGCAAGUCGAGCGAUGAAGCACCUUCGGGUGUGAAUUAGCGGCGAACGGGUGAGGAACACGUGAAGAAUCUGCCUUCAACUCUGGGAUAACUCCGGGAAACCGGGGCUAAUACCGGAUAUGAGCCUUGAUCGCAUGAUCGGGGCUGGAAAGUUUUUCGGUUGAAGACGACUUCGCGGCCUAUCAGCUUGUUGGUGAGGUAAUGGCUCACCAAGGCGACGACGGGUAGCCGGCCUGAGAGGGCGACCGGCCACACUGGGACUGAGACACGGCCCAGACUCCUACGGGAGGCAGCAGUGGGGAAUAUUGGGCAAUGGAGGAAACUCUGACCCAGCGACGCCGCGUGAGGGAUGAAGGCCUUCGGGUUGUAAACCUCUUUCAGUAGGGAAGAAGCGAAAGUGACGGUACCUACAGAAGAAGCACCGGCUAACUAUGUGCCAGCCGCCGCAGUAA